rnacentral:tRNA from 1 species
GCCUUCUUAGCUCAGCUGGUAGAGCAAUUGAUUUGUAAUCAAUAGGUCAACGGUUCGAUCCCGUUAGAAGGCUCAA